GAUAUGGAGUUCUUCUGAAACAAACUCCCCUCUGGCUUUCAGAAAAAUCAUCUGGAAUGUUCAGAAUGAUGAGGAAAGGGAGGGAAAAGAGCUUUGUGUGACCAUGUCUUGUGUACUGUGUGUGCUUCUGGUCGCCCCUCUCAGCGAGUACAUCUAGAAUGAAAAGCACCAAUUUCUGUGAUGUCAGUCUGAUGCCAAGCACAAUCCCACAGAGGAAAUACCUUGGAGUGUCCGAGGGAACACUUCUGUCUGAAGGAGAGCGAGGGGAGGCGGUUUGCUGGGUGGCUGAGCCCCACAGGGCUGUGUGAGAAAGGAAACCUUUUAAAGGGAACGGAUCUCAGGGACAGAAUCCGGUGCAGACCCGGCGCGGCUGCAGCGCCGGGCGGAGCGCGGCCGGAGCUGCGGGGACACAGCGGGAGUGUCACCAAAAAGGGCUGGCACUGAGCGCUGCUGCAGCCAGCACCGAGGAGAA